rnacentral:rRNA from 1 species
UACGUAGGGUGCGAGCGUUGUCCGGAAUUAUUGGGCGUAAAGAGCUUGUAGGCGGUCUGUCGCGUCUGCUGUGAAAACUCGGGGCUCAACUCCGAGCUUGCAGUGGGUACGGGCAGACUAGAGUGCGGUAGGGGAGACUGGAAUUCCUGGUGUAGCGGUGGAAUGCGCAGAUAUCAGGAGGAACACCGGUGGCGAAGGCGGGUCUCUGGGCCGUAACUGACGCUGAGGAGCGAAAGCAUGGGGAGCGAACAGG